UAAUAUUACAGAUUCCCAAAGGAUGAAAAGAUCAAAGUAGAGUGGAUAAGACGAGUCGGGAGACCUGACUGGAAGUGGAAGACCUACAGCAGGAUCUAUCUGUUCCAAGCACUUCUCGCCCGACAAUUAUUUGCACAGUGAAUAUUGUACUAAAAGGCGGUUAAAAUUUCAUGCUGUGCCUUCAAUUAAUUUGUCUGAAGCUGAUUCAAUUAGUUCAGAACGAGGACUCAUUCACAGUAUUCCAUGUGCUGUACAAGGACAAGGAAUUAAUACGGUAACUUCUGAGCAUGGACACGUUCAAUGUAUUCCAUCUGCUGUAACCCAAAGAGCUCUUCAAGCAUUAGAAGGACAAGAAAAUAGAAAACCACUAAUGGAAAUUAACACUGGGAUAGUGUCAAUAGUAAAACGAAAAUGUUCGUCUUCAGAUUGUGCUACAUCUUUUGAUAGAGAUGAAUCAUCCGCUGAAAAAAAGAUAAAACUAUUAGAGAAACGAGUUCAAGACUUAAAAAAUGUUUCGGAUCGCCGUCUACGUAAAAUAAACACGUUAACAAAACGAA